rnacentral:lncRNA from 1 species
CUGCAAGCUCCGCCUUCUGGGUUCAGGCCAUUCUCCUGCCUCAGCCUCCCGAGUAGCUGGGAGUAGAGGCGCCCGCCACCACACCUGGCUAACUUUUUGUAUUUUUAGUGGAGAGGGAGUUUCACCGUUUUAGACAGGAUGGUCUCGAUCUCCUGACCUCCUGAUCCACCCGCCUCUGCCUGCCAAAGUGCUGGGAUUACAGACGUGAGCCACCGCGCCCGGCUGUUUUCUUUUUUUUAACAGUAGGAAAACACAAGCGUGAAGCCUCCAUUUGGGAAGCCUGCAGAAGCCCCAAUCCAAUCACAGCACUGCCAGAGGAUCUUAGAAGUUGAAUAUCAAUUUAAUAACACAUCCUGUUUGAGAUUGGGUUCUAACUAUAUUGCCCAAGCUAGAUUCAAACUCUUGGGCUCAAGUGAUCCUCCUGCCUAAGACUCCUUAGUAGCUUGGAACUUCAGAACCAUCUGUCAAUGGCUACUUCAUACUUUAGAUGCUCCAAGAGGAAAAAGUCAUUUCAGAAUUGUAUCCAUAACCCAGUUUCAUUGAAGAUGGAGUCUUCCUUCAGAUUUUCUACAUAGACAAUUAUACCUCUGUGAACAAAGACAGUUUAUUUCUUCCUUCCCAGAGAUUGAGAGAGCAAGAAUCGUAGAUAUGAUAGCAACUACAAGAAACUUUGGCUCCAUUCUACACGACGGUUCUACCUCUGACUUAAAACUAGGCACCCUGCCACACUUCCUCCUGCUCCAGCAAUGUAAAACGUGCCUGCUUCCCCUUCACCUUCCACGUGACUGCAAGUUACCUGAUGCCUCUUUCGCCAGCUUUCUGUACAGCCUGCAGAACCAUGAGGAAUCACACCCCUUUUCUUUACAAAUUACCCAGUCUCAGACAUUUCUUUAUAGCAAUGCAAGAAUGGACUAAUACAGUAUCUGUGUAAAAUGGAGAUGUUUCCUAAGAAAGAAUAAACUCCUUUUGGUAUAAGUUAUGUGACUACAAGCAUACUUGGAUAUCUUAAUAUUUAAUCUGGGCCAGACAUACCUUGAUGUGGCAAGAAAGUAGCUGGAGAACUGUGUUGGUAGUCCUGGGGCUCUUCCUGCUUCUAUUGUUACCCAA